AUGGCGAGUCGGCGGGAACGGAGGCUUCCGCCCGCACCCGCUUUCCAGAUGGAGAACCCCUUCAGCGUGAAGGUUCUUCAGGUCUUCACCGGCGCCGGCGUCGGCUGCGGCGUCGGAAUCGGCGUCGGCCGCCCAAUCUACCUAGGUAUGAUACCGGGCCUUCAGCAAGUUAUGAGUGCCACAAGAGGUGCAACCGAUUCUUUUUCUGGUGUCACGAGACAUGUUAAUUCUGCUCUAAGGAAAGCAGGGUUAAAGAACAUUGAAGCGGGCAUUGGAUGCGGAGUUGGUAUAGGACAUGGUUUUGGGAUAGGAAUUGCCUUGAAACCACGAGCAAUUCAUGGAAUUCAAUCAUCGAUUGCAGAAGUUUUGUCCAAGUUAACUUCAAAGCUGAGGGAUUCCAGUGGGGAGACAGCUACAUCAGAUCUUACCUCUGGUUCGUUGCCUACCAGUGGACAAAGACCCAAUGGUAUGUCCAUGGAUCUAGAGGCUAAGGCAUUCAAAAGCAAUUUCCAGCAUACUUCAAGCAAUGAAAUAUCACAAGUACAGCCGAUUCAUGAAUUGCGUGGCCAGAAUGGGAUGCAGCAAGAGAUGAUAACAGGAGGUCGAACUGAAAAGGUCAUUGCCAACUUUCUGCAGAGUCCCCUGUUCCAGAAUGAUACAAAAACGGACAUCAGGGAUGCAGCUGUAAAUUUGCAUGGGACGGAUAAUGUACUUCAGUUGGUGCUGAAGCACCAAAGAGUUAUCGAAGAAUUACGAGACGAGAAUGAAAAGCUGCGUCAGGUGCUCAUAGAGGAACUUAAGAUUUCACCAGCUAAAUUACAACCGGAUCGGACAAGUGGAGUGAAGGCCUACUAUCCAUGCUCGGAGUGCUUUGACUGCCGCCGUCGAAGUCGGAAAUCAAACAGAUAG
rnacentral:rRNA from 1 species